rnacentral:rRNA from 1 species
AAACCAGCACCUCAAGUGGUCAGGAUGAUUAUUGGGCCUAAAGCAUCCGUAGCCUGCUCUGUAAGUUUUCGGUUAAAUCUGUACGCUCAACGUACAGGCUGUCGGGAAUACUGCAGAGCUAGGGAGUGGGAGAGGUAGACGGUACUCGGGAGGAAGUGGUAAAAUGCUUUGAUCUCUCGAUGACCACCUGUGGCGAAGGCGGUCUACCAGAACACGUCCGACGGUGAGGGAUGAAAGCUGGGGGAGCAAACCGGAUUAGAUACCCCAGUAGUCC